rnacentral:rRNA from 1 species
GAUGAACGCUGGCGGCGUGCCUAAUACAUGCAAGUCGAGCGAACGGACGAGAAGCUUGCUUCUCUGAUGUUAGCGGCGGACGGGUGAGUAACACGUGGAUAACCUACCUAUCAGACUGGGAUAACUUCGGGAAACCGGAGCUAAUACCGGAUGAUAUUUUGAACCGCAUGGUUCAAAAGUGAAAGACGGUCUUGCUGUCACUUAUAGAUGGAUCCGCGCUGCAUUAGCUAGUUGGUAAGGUAACGGCUUACCAAGGCAACGAUGCAUAGCCGACCUGAGAGGGUGAUCGGCCACACUGGAACUGAGACACGGUCCAGACUCCUACGGGAGGCAGCAGUAGGGAAUCUUACGCAAAGGUCGAAAGCCUGACGGAGCAACGCCGCGUGAGUGAUGAAGGUCUUCGGAUCGUAAAACUCUGUUAUUAGGGAAGAACAUAUGUGUAAGUAACUGUGCACAUCUUGACGGUACCUAAUCAGAAAGCCACGGCUAACUACGUG